AGGCCCUAGUGAAAUAAACGAGGAAUGUACAAAUAAUUUAGUAAAUAAGAAAUUAGAAAAAAAGUCAAAAUGAUUCAUGAUAAUAGGGUUAGUACAUCACUGAGAGGCUUUUCUGGUUAGUAUUGCAUCGUCUGUUUUGGAGAUCAUUUUAAAGUCAAGUUUCCUAUAAAUAUACCAAUUGAUAAGAAACAAAUUGUCACAUUGGACAUGUGAGUAUUAAGCACAAUUUUUGUCUUUUAGGAAAUGCCUAACUCCAGUCCUCUCGAUAAGUCCUACAAUGUAAAUUAUCUCCUUACACUUAGACAUUGAAGUUUUAUACUCUCUCUCUAUGAAUUUCAUCUUGGACCUGCUAUAUAUAUAGUUGGCAAAUCUGCCUCAAAUUUCUGAAAAGAUUGAACACAGAUGGGACAGUUUUGAUCAUAAGUCUGCUCAAUCAAUGCUGACAUAGAUCUGAACAAUGGAUCUUGUUCAUAUGAACAAGCAAACUGUACCAUCUGAUUCAUCAGCCACUCUUACCUUUGAUUUAAUUACUAAAGUCUGCAUUAAACAUAUCAUCCAAAUCUUUAACUCCAGAAAUGCGAAUGCUUUGAUCUCCCUCCUUGUCCACAGCCUUUCUACAAGGUACAACCUAGAAAACAUCAACUACACUGGUCUCACCAGCCUGGCAUGGCUUGCAAUAAUUAUAGACAACUGCUGUCUACAACACCGGUAACUAUAUUUGUAAGAGUUUUCUUAGAACUAUUUUAUCAAUACUCAGUCCAAAUUUAUAGAGCCGAGUUGAAUACUAUACAAUUUACAUCAAGGCAAUUCGUGGCUCUCGAGGUUGUGUUGAACCUUUCUUAAAAAAGACGUCUCCGUUUAGAACAAAAGAUAUUUUGAAAACAGGAGGAAAAAAAAAUUAAACAUCGCCAAAUUGAGCACUAUCAGAAACAAGUAUUAAACAAGCAAUACGGAACUGACAUUAAAUUUA